rnacentral:rRNA from 1 species
GCCAGACUCCUACGGGAGGCAGCAGUGGGGGAUAUUGCACAAUGGGGGGAACCCUGAUGCAGCGACGCCGCGUGGGUGAAGAAGUAUUUCGGUAUGUAAAGCCCUAUCGGCAGGGAAGAAAUUGGACGGUACCUGACUAAGAAGCCCUGGCUAACUACGUGCCAGCAGCCGCGGUAAUACGUAGGGGGCAAGCGUUAUCCGGAUUCACUGGGUGUAAAGGGAGCGUAGACGGCCAUGCAAGCCUGGAGUGAAAGCCCGGGGCCCAACCCCGGGACUGCUCUGGGAACUGUGCGGCUGGAGUGCGGGAGGGGCAGGCGGAAUUCCUGGUGUAGCGGUGAAAUGCGUAGAUAUCAGGAGGAACACCGGCGGCGAAGGCGGCCUGCUGGACCGCGACUGACGUUGAGGCUCGAAAGCGUGGGGAGCAAACAGGAUUAGAUACCCUUGUA